rnacentral:rRNA from 1 species
AUACGGAGGGGACUAGCGUUGUUCGGAAUUACUGGGCGUAAAGAGUUCGCAGGCGGACUGAUAAGUAAGAGGUGAAAUCCCAGGGCUCAACCCUGGAACUGCCUUUUAAACUGUCAGUCUAGAGACCGGAAGAGGUUAGGGGAAUACCUAGUGUAGAGGUGAAAUUCGUAGAUAUUAGGUGGAACACCAGUGGCGAAGGCGCCUAACUGGUCCGGUACUGACGCUGAGGAACGAAAGCGUGGGGAGCAAACAGGAUUAGAUACCCUUGUAGUCC